UACGAAGGGGCUAGCGUUGCUCGGAAUCACUGGGCGUAAAGGGCUCGUAGGCGGCCAACUAAGUCAUACGUGAAAUCCCUCGGCUAAACCGGGGAACGUGCGUCUGAUACUGGAUGGCUUGAGUUCGGGAGAGGGAGUGCGGAAUUCCAGGUGAGCGGUGAAAAUGCGUAGAUAUCGGAGGAACACCGGUGGCGAAGGCG
rnacentral:rRNA from 1 species